ensembl:lncRNA
UUUUUUUUUUUUUUUUUGUAUUUUUAGUAGAGACAGGGUUUCACUGUGUGAGCCAGGAUGGUCUCAAUCUUCUGACCUCAUGAUCCGCCUGCUUCGGCCUCCUAAAGUACUGGGACUACAGGUGUGAGCCACCACGCCUGGCCUCUUUUACUUUUAUUAAUUGUACAGUUUAUAAGUAUAUUUUAAAUAGGAAAUCAGAAAAUUUUAUUGAUUUUAAUCAAUAUUUAUAUAUAGAACAGCUAAACCCCAAUGGGUAAAACAUCAGGGACUGACUAUAUACAGAAAUCCACAACAAUUUUACCUUAGAAGAGAACUUAAAGAUGCAAAUAAAUCAUGGUUUCUCAUCCCGACACGGUGGACAUUUUGGACAAUUCUCUGUGGCUGGGAGUGUCCUGUGUGUGGUGGAAUAUUUAGCAGCAUCUCUGGCCUCCACUCACUAGAAGCCAGUACUAUGUCACAUACACACACCCAUUGUGACAAUCGAAAAUGUUUCCAAACAAGUGUCCCCUGAGUGGUGCAAAGCAUCCCUUGGUUGAGAAUCACUGAACUAGAUAUAUUAUCUCUCUCAUGAAUGUUUUAUGUCUGGUGCUAUCAUGUUCUGUUCAUGUUCUUACUGUUUCCAGAAAGGGAACCACCAUAUAGAUUGACUUCCUUUCUGUUAUUUUGUAUCUAUUUCCUAAAGAAAAGUUUUAUAAACUUCAAAAAUAAAGAAAAACAACUAAGAAAAAAGACUUAGCUCUGUGUAAGUGCAGAGCCCCCAUGAUUAGGCUGCCACAUCUCAAGGCAGGUCAUUCUCCCUUGUGUUUCUUGAAAGGGUAAAGGUGAAAGAAAGGGAUUUUCAUUUGCAAAGGAUUUUUCUCAAGAGGUCUUGUGAGCAACUAGAACAAUAAAAACCCCAGAUGCUAUUAGAUGAAGGGCAGGUCUUACAGAUCAGUCUAUCACACUCAAAAGGGGAAAUACAAUUUUCUGUUUUAGAAAAAAAGAAAAUCUCUAGUGUCGAGAGACCUCACAGAUUUAAUGACCAUCUUGCCAGGCACUGCUUUAAACAAGUAAAAAGAAACAUACUUAUUUCCAGCCAGGAGCCUGGAGUUCCAUGGUGAGGUCACAUACAUCUAGUUUCUAUGUCCCACUUUCUGCCUUUGCUGACAUCUGAUUGAAUUAUUGAAAGAGUUCAUCGACAUUAACCCUGGACAGCCUCUUCUACCUAAGGAAGUAACUUGGAAGUGUGACCCAGUCAUGGUCUGAGCUGCCAAGACAAUAGCAGGGGAAGAAUGCUGCAUUGGUGUACAUCAAGGUAAUUAAAAGGUGUUUUGUUAUCAGCUCAUUAAUAUUGAUUAUACCUUUUUCCACUCCAUUAGAGCCGAUAAUUGGAGGUGGUGCUAGGUAUGUUCAAUGUUUCCCAACUACUCUGCUACUGACCCCGGGAAGAAAAACGCUUUGAAAAUUAAGCGCUUACCUUGCUGUUUACAAGCUAUAGUUCAUUGGCAUCCACCUUGACAAGGCUGAUCCCCAGAAGGAUGCCAUUUUCUGAGAAGGUACAAAACUCAAAUGUGAUGUUAGCAUCUGACCAGACUCUGUAGCCCUCUUUGACUGAAACAUACAAGGACAGCCCCAAGUCAACCUCAGAGAGGCAUGGGCUGGGCUGGGUGGCUGCUGUGCAUUUGGGCUUUCUGGCUGGAUCUAGCUCUUCCUCUGGAUCCAGCUGCAUCCCCACCAGCAGGUCAGUCCUGCCCUCUGAGCCUC